CCCGAUGUAGGUCGUCGCUGCCGCCACCCCUUGAAUUCUAUCUCCCCCUUUUCCCCCUAGGGUUGGUGUUUCGGCAAUGGUGCGGAGCGAGGCGGGGGCCGAGAGCCGAUGGAUUCAUCACACAUGCCGGGAGAUACUGCUGAGAGAGGUGGAGCCGGAAGGAGAAGUCGAAAGCUUGGAGGGAUCUCUGAUGUAUUCUUUUCGAGUCUUGUAGCAAUG
rnacentral:lncRNA from 1 species